UACAGAGGUCUCAAGCGUUGUUCGGAUUCAUUGGGCGUAAAGGGUGCGUAGGUGGCGGGGUAAGUCAGGUGUGAAAUCUCGGGGCUCAACCCCGAAACUGCAUUUGAUACUGCCUUGCUCGAGUACUGGAGAGGAGAUUGGAAUUUACGGUGUAGCAGUGAAAUGCGUAGAGAUCGGGAGGAACACCAGUGGCGAAGGCGGCUACCUGGACCAGCACUGACACUGAGGCACGAAAGCGUGGGGAGCGAACAGG
rnacentral:rRNA from 1 species